rnacentral:rRNA from 1 species
AUACGGAGGGUCCAAGCGUUAUCCGGAUUCAUUGGGUUUAAAGGGUCCGCAGGCGGGAAAAUAAGUCAGUGGUGCAAGCCUACAGCUCAACUGUAGAACUGCCAUUGAUACUGUUUUUCUUGAGUAUAGAUGAAGUGGGCGGAAUAUAUCAUGUAGCGGUGAAAUGCAUAGAUAUGAUAUAGAACACCGAUUGCGAAGGCAGCUCACUAAACUAUUACUGACGCUCAGGGACGAAAGCGUGGGGAGCGAACAGGAUUAGAAACCCUAGUAGUCC